CCACUGUCCCCUCCGCUCACUGCCCCCCCCACCAUGAAGAUGCCUGGAGAUAAGCAGGAACCUGAAAGGAACUUAAAGUAAAGCAAAGCCUUUUCAGUUUGGACGCAGAGCUCUUCUGAACCUAGUCUGCAGAAUUCUUCGAGAUGUUGGAGAAGAUGCAGGCACCAAAACUUGAAGAUCAGAAAGCUGGAAGCCAAAAACAUAAGGAGGACUACAUCCCAUACCCCAGCAUCGAUGAGAUCCUGGAGAAGGGCAGCCCCUACCCGCUGGUCAUUCUGCCCCAGUUUGGGGGGUACUGGAUUGAGGACCCAGAGAACCUCGGCACACCCACCUCAUCCGACAGCAGUGUCUGCGAGGAGGAGGAGGAGAACUUCAGCCCCAGCCCCUAUGGGUACAAGCUGGAGUGCAAAGGAGAGGCCAGAGCAUACAGGAAGCACUUCCUGGGGAAGGACCACUUAAACUUUUACUGCACGGCCAGCAGCCUGGGAAACCUGAUCCUGUCCAUUAAGUGUGAGGAGAUGGAUGGCACUGAAUAUUUACGGAUUAUACUCAGGUCCAAAGUGAAGACGUUGCAUGAAAGAAUUCCUCUGGCAGGAUUUAGCAAGCUGCCCAGCAUCCCACAGAUUGCGAAGGCCUUCUGUGAUGAUGCCUCUGGACUGAAGUUUAAUCCGGUUCUGUAUCCCAAGGCCUCCCAGAUGAUAGUGGCUUAUGAUGAGCAUGAGGUCAACAACACUUUCAAGUUUGGUGUCAUCUACCAGAAGUUCAGGCAGACUCAGGAGGAAGAGCUGUUCGGCAACAAUGAGGAGAGUGCUGCCUUCAGGAACUUCCUAAAUUUGCUGGGAGACACCAUAACACUGCAGGACUUUAAAGGUUUCCGAGGAGGCCUGGAUGUCAGCCACGGGCAGACGGGGGUUGAGUCUGUGUACACCGUGUUCCGGGACAGGGAGAUCAUGUUCCACGUGUCCACCAAGCUGCCUUUCACGGAAGGGGACACCCAGCAGCUGCAGAGGAAGAGACACAUUGGCAACGACAUUGUGGCAAUUAUCUUUCAAGAAGAGAACACGCCAUUCGUCCCAGACAUGAUUGCCUCCAAUUUCUUACAUGCCUACAUUGUGGUGCAGGUGGAGAACCCCGAUGCAGACACUGCAUCCUACAAGGUCUCUGUCACGGCCCGGGAAGACGUCCCCUCCUUUGGCCCACCACUGCCGAGCCCGCCAGUGUUUCAGAAGAGCCCCGAGUUCCGGGAGUUCCUGCUCACCAAGCUCAUCAAUGCCGAGAACGCCUGCUGCAAGUCAGACAAGUUUGCGAAGCUGGAGGACCGGACACGUGCUGCCCUGCUGGACAACCUUCAUGAUGAGCUCCACGGGCACACACAGACCAUGCUGGGGAUGGGGCCUGAGGAGGACAAGCUGGAGAACGGAGGACACGGGGGCUUCCUGGAGUCUUUCAAGAGAGCCAUCCGCGUGCGCAGCCACUCCAUGGAGACAAUGGUGGGCAGCCAGAGGAAGCAGCAUGGCGGUGGCAUCCCGGGCAGCCUGAGCGGGGGCAUCGCGCACAACAGCAGCGAGGUGACCAAGACCACCUUCUCGCCCCCGGUCUCGGCAGCCGCGGCCAAGAACCAGUCGAGGAGUCCCAUCAAGCGCCGCUCGGGGCUGUUCCCACGCCUGCACACGGGGUUGGAGAGCCAGGCAGACAGCAGGGCGCGAUGUCUCCCCACACAGCCUUUUUGUGCCCUCAGUGACAGUAUUUCUGGAGCACAGAAGACACCAGAUGUUGGACAUUCAUCCCAGGAGAUGAAAUCUGAGACCUCAUCCAACCCCAGCUCCCCUGAAAUAUGCCCCAACAAAGACAGGCCCUUUGUCAAGCUGAAGGAGAACGGCCGGUCCAACAUCUCGCGCUCCUCCUCGAGCACCAGCAGCUUCAGCAGCACAGCGGGGGAGAGUGAGACACUGGAGGAGUACGACAGCGUGGGCAGCCAGCCAUCCACAGCAUCGCCCUUCAAGCAGGACGUGUUCAUCUACAGCGCAUCGCCCGGCAGUGAUAGCCCGAGCGUGGGGGCCGCGGCCACCCCGGUCAUCAUGAGCCGGAGCCCCACAGCAGAUAUAAAGAACAGAAACUCCCCGAGGUCAAACCUGAAGUUCCGCUUCGAUAAGCUCAGCCACGGCAGCUCCAGCACGGUACGCAGCGUGGGGACGCCCUGCAGGCACAGCGCGGGGCUGCGGGGCAGUGCUGCUGUGUGUCGCUGUGCCUUUGUCUGCAAUCCAACCUGAAUUCUGGUUUCUCGUUUAGAGUCACUAGCAGGAAAAAAGGAAGUCGAGAACUUUUCAGUGAGGAUUUUUGUUUCAGCGAAGGGAAAACUUCACCUCCCCGUGGGAACGCACACACCUCACACUCCAGCACGGUGCCCUCCCCACUGCAGCCGACCCUGUGCCCGCCGGAGGACGUCACCUCCCUCUCGGCCCCAGCAGUCCUAGCCCUCGCCGUGCCCCCCUGCCUCCCCUACGGCCCCAGCAGGCUGCGGGCAGGGAGCUGGGGGGGCACCGGAGAGGUUUGAAGUGUCCCUCAGGUGCUUGCACCGUCCAUGCACACACACACCUGGGAGCCUUUUUUCCCCUUGGCAGGCACGGGCAGCUCUGGUUCUCUGCUUUUGGAGCUGGUGCGGCAGUGCUGUGGGACCGGGGCUCACGCGCUGCCCCUGCUGACCCCACCCCCAGCUCUUGGGCUGCAAAAUACCUGGGGCCGCGCAGCCCCGCGCUCCCCGGGUGCUGGCACGCGGUGCCAUCUGCCUUCUCUGCGUGGCCCGAGUGCUUCUUCCCUGCCCAGAACUCCAGCGUGGGCCCGGGACAGACCGAAGCCAAAGCUGCGGUGUAACCGAAUCCCAGACUGGUGCUCGGAGCACUGAGCCUGCGGGAUCUGCCUCGUCCCGGGGCUGCCCCAUCCGCCGGUGGCCGGGACGGCAUUGGGCUGCUCCGCCCUUUGCAACAUCAGCCCCCGCCUCUGAGCGCGCGUCCGUUCACUUCGAAAGAGGGUGGUUACGGCUGUGCAAGGUGACACCUCCCCAUGCCGCUCUGCAGAUGCUCCUGCCCGCACAGAUAUCCCUCGGCCCUUAGGGAGCUUUGCCUAAGGUUCGCUGUAAGUCUGCCUACUAUGUUCAGGGUGGUCACGGAUUUCCCCCAUCCACUUUUUAAAUGCUGCAGAGGUGCAGUGCUGCACCUCGCCUCAAUCCGUCACACUUGCAAAAGUAACCGCCAGAAUCGACGUUCUUCAUUUCAAAUGGAAGCCGUUUUUUGAGUUCAUGAUUCCUAACGACGCACAGCUGGCAGCGCCAAAGCCGCCCGCGCGCGGCUGCAGCCCCCGCCCACAAACGGCCCGGCGGUGCGCGCCGCGUGGCGCCGUCUGAAGGAAGGGCUGAGGGCCGGUGGGGCGCGUUAACGAAGGAAUUAACGAUCCGAUUGACGAAGGAACCGCGUCGCGGAGAACGCGAGGACUCCCGACGACCGCUGAGCGCUCUCUCCCGCGGUCCGUGAGUUGCUUUUAAGUCGCGUUUAAACCUCGAGCUGCUCUUUGCCGGAGGCGGUUUCCCUCGCUUUGCUGCCCCCCGGGGGCGCCGAACCCUCGCCCUUCCGCGGAGUGCUGCGCUGCGGGGCUGCUGCGCGCCCAGGGCUCGGUGCGGCUUUCCCGAGGAGUUGUGUGGUUCUGUGCGUGUCGUUGUUUGCGCGCUUGUUGAUCUCUGUGAGAUCUUUCAGCAAAUGCAGUGGCUGCUCUCGUCCGGGCUUUUGUUUUCGGGUGGUUGUUUUGUUUCUGUUAUUACUUGAAUCUGCGAGGUUCCUUCUGACCCGGAGCGCUUUGUCGGAGGGCUCUGGGAGGGCUGCGGCCCCGGGGCUGAAGCGAUGCGUGGGGCGUCGCGGGCCGCGGCGUGGCUUCCCGCUCUGCCCGGGCUGACCGUGCGGGGCGCAGCCGUGCGCUGGCGGAGCGCGGAGGGUUUUGUGCUCCAGCGGUGGGUGAGGGCGUUCCUGCAUAUAUAUUGCAAAACGUUUUGUGCUUCUACGUGACACACGCACACAUGUACACACCUGCAUACAAAUGGAAGUGCUUUUUUUUUUCCUGGGUAAAAAGGGACCGUCCCAAGCACAGACUCAGUUUCUUUACGGAGUUUUGGGCUCUGUGGCGACGGCAGACGCAGGGCCGGAAUGUUUCCUUGGCACCGGCGGGCACGGUAACCCUGAUGGAAGCCACGACCCCGGGUUUCCUCAGCUGCUGCAGGGGCAGUUGGUGCCGGCGGUGCCACGUGGCCCCGAUCCCCGCAGGGCACAUUGCACCUACACUGCAGGGCUGCGUGCGGCUGGGAUGUGCUCAGCUCGGACCCUUAGAGUGUGAUUCGUUGUUGGAAGGAAUGUAGCACUGCGUAUAUCCUGCGAAGGAAAAUGCUGAAUUUGUAUCAUUAGAAUGUGAAGAGAGUUUAUAGAGUGAAAAAAAAAUCUUGGAAAAACGUAUCUGACAGAAGUUUAUUUUUUAUGUGAAGAGGCGGCGCUUCGUAGUUCCUGGUGGCCUAUGUCUGUUGUAAAUAAUGUACAUUUAAUUUAUUGCUAUAGUAGCAGAUUGUAUUUGUUAUGUAUAAAACUAAAGGUUCACAAAUGUAUAUUUUGUUGCUUAAAUGUGUCUUUGCAAAAUACACAAUAAAUAACAUAUUUUGUGUC